GGAAUUAUUACUGUGAAGCCCAGAACAGAAGAGGACGUCAUAACUCCACCUUACAUCUGAUUGUUGUUGCAGGUUCAUUGAAAUUUCCAGUUGCUCUAUCAGUCAGUGCUGUUGUUCUGGUCUUCAUUCUUCUUCUCUCUGUCGUCCUGUGGAUUAGAAGAGAGAGGUCUUUGCAACAACAACCUGAGGCUGGUGAGAGACCACACAACAGAGCAGAGGAGACAGAUGAACUUCAGUAUGCAAGCGUACAGUGCGUUAGGAACCAGCCAGAGGCUCUCUACUCCAACUUCAGCCCAGCUCAGCCCCUCAGAAACGAGGAGGAGGUUGUUUACGCGACCCCCAUCUUCAACAGUGCCGCAGGAACAAGGCGUCAAGCAGCUGUGGAGGAUGUAUCUGCCCUGUACAGCAGAGUUAAUAGAAGCCACUGAGUGUGAUGACAACAUGGAUCUGUGGACAGCGUUUCCUUCCUGAGCUGCCGUGACAGAGGGGACAGGGACAGAAGAGGGAAUAUCCUAAUGAAGAAGACUGUAAUAGACUUCUAACUUUGUUUGUCUAAACCAGACAUCAUAUUAUCAGAUACUAAUUGGAGUGUAUUUCUGCACAGACUGAGGACUGCUUGUUCUGAAUCAGCAAUUUUCUUAAAAAAGUCAAAUCUUCAUGUGGCAGAUAAAAGUCUGCUGAGCACCUUCUGAUUCCAUACAAACAGUUAGUGAUCCACAACUCAAAGAAAGACUCCUAAAUUUCCAAUAGUUCCUUUUGCAAGCACAGAAACAAAUGUUUAAUAUAUGAACUCUCCUUCAGAAAGCAAUGAGGUGAUCAGUAGCAGUAGCCAGCUGCCCACAGAGGUAACCACACCUGCCUGUAAAAUCUCUCAAGCUGUUUGUGUCUGUGAGGGAAUUUAGGCCAGGUUAAUGGAGGUGACCUGUCACACUUAACCUGUCUUCUUACGUCUCGUGUCUCACGCCUCAUGUCUCUGGCAGGGUGCUGCUGAAAACGACACAAAACCGAGGAAGUUGACAUGAUGUGGACGAGUUUAGAGUUAAAUCA